AGUGAACGCUGGCGGUAGGCCUAACACAUGCAAGUCGAACGGCAGCACAGUAAGAGCUUGCUCUUACGGGUGGCGAGUGGCGGGCGGGUGAGGAAUACAUCGGAAUCUACUUUUUCGUGGGGGAUAACGUAGGGAAACUUACGCUAAUACCGCAUACGACCUACGGGUGAAAGCAGGGGAUCUUCGGACCUUGCGCGAUUGAAUGAGCCGAUGUCGGAUUAGCUAGUUGGCGGGGUAAAGGCCCACCAAGGCGACGAUCCGUAGCUGGUCUGAGAGAAUGAUCAGCCACACUGGAACUGAGACACGGUCCAGACUCCUACGGGAGGCAGCAGUGGGGAAUAUUGGACAAAGGGCGCAAGCCUGAUCCAGCCAUACCGCGUGGGUGAAGAAGGCCUUCGGGUUGUAAAGCCCUUUUGUUGGGAAAGAAAAGCAGCAGGUUAAUACCCCGCUGUUCUGACGGUACCCAAAGAAUAAGCACCGGCUAACUUCGUG
rnacentral:rRNA from 1 species